GAUGAACGCUGGCGGCGUGCCUAAUACAUGCAAGUCGAGCGAACAGACGAGGAGCUUGCUCCUCUGACGUUAGCGGCGGACGGGUGAGUAACACGUGGAUAACCUACCUAUAAGACUGGGAUAACUUCGGGAAACCGGAGCUAAUACCGGAUAAUAUAUUGAACCGCAUGGUUCAAUAGUGAAAGACGGUUUUGCUGUCACUUAUAGAUGGAUCCGCGCCGCAUUAGCUAGUUGGUAAGGUAACGGCUUACCAAGGCAACGAUGCGUAGCCGACCUGAGAGGGUGAUCGGCCACACUGGAACUGAGACACGGUCCAGACUCCUACGGGAGGCAGCAGUAGGGAAUCUUCCGCAAUGGGCGAAAGCCUGACGGAGCAACGCCGCGUGAGUGAUGAAGGUCUUCGGAUCGUAAAACUCUGUUAUUAGGGAAGAACAAAUGUGUAAGUAACUAUGCACGUCUUGACGGUACCUAAUCAAGAAGCCACGGCUAACUACGUG
rnacentral:rRNA from 1 species